AGAGUUUGAUCCUGGCUCAGGACGAACGCUGGCGGCGUGCCUAAUACAUGCAAGUAGAACGCUGCAGGAGGAGCUUGCUUCUCUGGAUGAGUUGCGAACGGGUGAGUAACGCGUAGGUAACCUGCCUGGUAGCGGGGGAUAACUAUUGGAAACGAUAGCUAAUACCGCAUAAGAGUGGAUGUUGCAUGACAUUUGCUUAAAAGGUGCACUUGCAUCACUACCAGAUGGACCUGCGUUGUAUUAGCUAGUUGGUGGGGUAACGGCUCACCAAGGCGACGAUACAUAGCCGACCUGAGAGGGUGAUCGGCCACACUGGGACUGAGACACGGCCCAGACUCCUACGGGAGGCAGCAGUAGAGAAUCUUCGGCAAUGGACGGAAGUCUGACCGAGCAACGCCGCGUGAGUGAAGAUGUUUUCGGAUCGUAAAGCUCUGUUGUAAGAGAAGAAUGAGUGUGAGAGUGGAAAGUUCACACUGUGACGGUAUCUUACCAGAAAGGGACGGCUAACUACGUGCCAGCAGCCGCGGUAAUACGUAGGUCCCGAGCGUUGUCCGGAUUUUUUGGCGUAAAGCGAGCGCAGGCGGUUAGAUAAGUCUGAAGUUAAAGGCUGUGGCUUAACCAUAGUAGGCUUUGGAAACUGUUUAACUUGAGUGCAAGAGGGGAGAGUGGAAUUCCAUGUGUAGCGGUGAAAUGCGUAGAUAUAUGGAGGAACACCGGUGGCGAAAGCGGCUCUCUGGCUUGUAACUGACGCUGAGGCUCGAAAGCGUGGGGAGCAAACAGGAUUAGAUACCCUGGUAGUCCACGCUGUAAACGAUGAGUGCUAGGUGUUAGACCCUUUCCGGGGUUUAGUGCCGUAGCUAACGCAUUAAGCACUCCGCCUGGGGAGUACGACCGCAAGGUUGAAACUCAAAGGAAUUGACGGGGGCCCGCACAAGCGGUGGAGCAUGUGGUUUAAUUCGAAGCAACGCGAAGAACCUUACCAGGUCUUGACAUCCCUCUGACCGCUCUAGAGAUAGAGCUUUCCUUCGGGACAGAGGUGACAGGUGGUGCAGGGUGUCGUCAGCUCGUGUCGUGAGAUGUUGGGUAAGUCCCGCAACGAGCGCAACCCCUAUUGUUAGUUGCCAUCAUUUAGUUGGGCACUCUAGCGAGACUGCCGGUAAUAAACCGGAGGAAGGUGGGGAUGACGUCAAAUCAUCAUGCCCCUUAUGACCUGGGCUACACACGUGCUACAAUGGCUGGAACAACGAGUCGCAAGCCGGUGACGGCAAGCUAAUCUCUUAAAGCCAGUCUCAGUUCGGAUUGUAGGCUGCAACUCGCCUACAUGAAGUCGGAAUCGCUAGUAAUCGCGGAUCAGCACGCCGCGGUGAAUACGUUCCCGGGCCUUGUACACACCGCCCGUCACACCCCAGAGUUUGUAACACCCGAAGUCGGUGAGGUAACCGUAAGGAGCCAGCCGCCUAAGGUGGGAUAGAUGAUUGGGGUGAAGUCGUAACAAGGUAGCCGUAUCGGAAGGUGCGGCUGGAUCACCU
rnacentral:rRNA from 1 species